rnacentral:lncRNA from 1 species
AUGUGAUACUGUACUAAACCCAGCUGACAGAGAGAUAGAGAGAGAUGUGAUACUGUACUAAACCCAGCUGACAGAGAGAUAGAGAGAGAUGUGAUACUGUACUGAACCCAGCUGACAGAGAGCUAGAGAGAGAUGUGAUACUGUACUAAACCCAGCUGACAGAGAGAUAGAGAGAGAUGUGAUACUGUACUAAACCCAGCUGACAGAGAGAUAGAGAGAGAUGUGAUACUGUACUGAACCCAGCUGACAGAGAGAUAGAGAGAGAGAUGUGAUACUGUACUGAACCCAGCUGACAGAGAGAUAGAGAUAGAUGUGAUACUGUACUAAACCCAGCAGACAGAGAGAUAGAGAGAGAUGUGAUACUGUACUGAACCCAGCAGACAGAGAGAAAGAGAGAGAUGUGAUAGUGUACUGAAAACAGCUGACAGGAAGUGGUCAUAGCCACUGACUCGUCUUGCUGUACUGAACAACUGCAGAUAAGACAAGAUACUACACACACACAUACACACACACUCUUGUAGCACACAAAACACACAGAUUAUAGAGCACAUAGAGUACCACACGGUGCAGAACAAAGCACACCCAGACCUUACAGAGCUCUCAUAACAGAGAGAUAGACUGAAGAACAGCGUGACCUUACAAAGCUCUCAUAACAGAUAGAUAGACUGAAGAACAGCGUGACCUUACAGAGCUCUCAUAACAGAGAUAGACUGAAGAACAGCCUGAACUUACAGAGCUCUCAUAACAGAGAGAUAGACUGAAGAACAGC